GCCUAUUGGCUUUAUUCAGUCUUGUCUUUAAGGAGGUUUAUGGUUCGAUUCCUACUUACUUCAGUAUCAGUGGCAGCACACUCUCACUUGAGCUUAUGGGUGCCAUGGUUAAUAUCUAUAUAUUGUAAGUAUACAUAUAUGCCAAGUUUCGAUCGAGAUGACCGGGUGUCGUAGCACCCCACAGUUGUACCUAAAUCGCCCCGACAGAGAUUCCCUUCCAAAAAUAAUCAUGUGGAUACCAUACGAAUCAAUCGAAGGGACCCUAAGCUAGCUCCGCCCUGUACGCGGAGUAUCGAAAAGACUGAUUUAACGUUGUGAAUAUUAAAAGACAAAUGAACAAACAUGC
rnacentral:lncRNA from 1 species